rnacentral:pre_miRNA from 1 species
UCAGUAACAAAGAUUUAUCUCUGUGUUUGAUCAAUGGCAGGGAGAAUCUUUGUCACUGAGU